GUUCAACUCCAGUCAAGGCUUUGGUGAGGAUGUCUGCCAAUUGAGCAUGAGUAGGAACAUAAGUCAAAUUGAUCAACCCUUCUUGAAGUUUGGCUCGUACAAAAUGACAAUCCACUUCAAUGUGCUUGGUCCGUUCAUGGAAAACAGAAUUUCUAGCUAUAUGGAGAGCUCAUUGGCUAUCACAAAAGACAGUGACAGGCUUUGGAAAUGGGACAGCUAGCUCCUCGAGUAAUCUGCACAACCAAGUGAGUUCACCAACAACAUUUCGGAGAGAUCUAUACUCUGCCUCGGCUGAAGAAAGGGAGACAGUUUCUUGUUUCUUGGACUUCCAACUUAUGGGACUAUCUCCCAAGAGAACUAUGUAGCCACUGACUGACUUUCUGGAGUCUGAACAAGCAACCCAAUCGGAGUCACAGUAGGCCUGGAUAGUGCAGUCUGGAUCAUUAGAGAAGAAGAUUUCCAGUGUAGGAUCACUUUUCAGAUAUCGUAACAAGUGAAAAGCAGCCUUAAGAUGAGGUUCUCUGGGGUCUUGCAUAAAUUGGCUAAGGUGUUGGACUCCAUAAGCAAUGUCCAACCUGGUAUUAGUAAGGAAGUUCAGCUUUCCAACGAGCUUCCUAUAAUAUUUAGGGUCAUUCAAGACAGCACCAACCUAAGCCUGCAACUUAACAGAGGGAUCAAGGGGGGAUGACAGUCCACUGUAGGACAUACAGUCAUAUUCUUUGAGAAGAUCAAGAGCAUACUUCCUUAGUGAGAUGAGAACCCCAUCAGUUUUAUAAAGAACCUCUAAGCCCAGAAAGUAGUGUAAUCUGCCAAGAUCUUUGAUUUUGAAGGUGUUAUGUAGGAAGCUUUUCAACUGAUUGACCUCCUCCAUGUCUGUCCCUGUGAUAAGCACAUCAUCAACAUAGACAGCUAUGUACAUAGUGGAGGAGUCUGUUCUUUUGCAAAAUAAGGAAUAAUCAUGGAGGGAAUGCACAUAGGCUCUGGAGUAUAAUGCCUCGGCUAGCUUGGCAUACCAUUGCCUACUAGCUUGCUUCAACCCAUAGAGAGAUUUGUUCAGUCUACAAACAACACCUGGAGUGGGCACCUCAAGGCCCGGGGGAAUUUCCAUGUAGACUUCCUCAUGCAAGUCCCCAUGGAGGAAUGCGCUAUUGACAUCAAGUUGAGAAAUGAUCCACUUCCUCUUUACUGCAGUGGCAAUAAGGGCCCUAACUGUAGUUAACUUCACAAGAAGUGAGAAAGUUUCAGUAUAGUCCCAUAAGAAAUUGGAUCAAGCGCCUAUCCUGCUCUGCCUUGUAUAAUUUUUCCUUGGCACCACAAUUACACUGGCAAUUGCACUGUGCUUUCAUACUCAGAUUACUCAAUUCUUUCCAAAGUUUCUUCAUUUUGGUGUAAUAAUUCGUGAUAUCGAGAGCUCCCUGAGUCAGAUCAUUUAUCUAUUUCUGGAUUUGAAACAGUCUAGCACCAUUAGUUUGCUCGUAACGAUCUUCCAAUUCUGAUGCCAUGUCAAGAUGAUGAGAGCUCAAGGUAAGCAACAAUGGAGUUCUGUGAUGAGCUCCAUGACAACGGAUGAGAAAGAGAGCUACAGAUAUUUGAGAGAUGGAAAAUGUACUGUAUAUUCACAUUAUAUGUAGAAGGUUCCAGAUAUGUACAUGUAUAUAUAGACACACGUGUGUCUCACCUAAUGCCACAACUACUUCUAACUAACUAAUGUAUUAGUUACAACUAAUCACUACUAAUACAUAAAUACAUAUAGUUCAAUAGAACCAAAUAGCAAUAUAAAGAUACAAGAACCAUAGACUGACUUCAUUUAGACCAAGCAACAAAUUCUAGGAAAAAUUCUAUCAAGGCUGAAUUGAAAAAUAUAGCUUCAGUGCAAAACGAAAUAGCCUUGCCACGCUCAAAAAUACAAAUUCACUGUCAUCCGUUAUAAAGUUGACAGAGAGACUAGAUACAGCAAUAUAAAGAUACAAGAACCAUAGACUGACUUCAUUUAUGAUAAAUUCUUGAACCAAUUAGACAAAGCAUAAAGCAACAUCAAGGAUUAAUUUCACUCACCUGCAACUGGCAUACAUCUUGACAUAAAGGUCGUUAUAAAAAAUACAAUGUUAAGGGCAGC
rnacentral:lncRNA from 1 species